AUCAGGUAGGAAUACCCGCUGAACUUAAGCAUAUCAAUAGGCGGAGGAAAAGAAACUAACCAGGAUUCCCCUAGUAACGGCGAGUGAAGCGGGAAUAGCUCAAAUUUUAAAUCUGGCCGGCGUGUCGGUCCGAGUUGUAAUUUGAAGAAGCGAUUAUCACGUUUUCGUUCGGGUUCAAGUUCCUUGGGAUAGGACAUCAGAGAGGGUGAGAAUCCCGUCUGUGAUCCGAUCGGCUUCGGUACGAUAACGUUUCUAAGAGUCGAGUUGUUUGGGAUUGCAGCUCAAAAUGGGUGGUAAAUUCCAUCUAAGGCUAAAUAUAGGCGAGAGACCGAUAGCGAACAAGUACCGUGAGGGAAAGAUGAAAAGAACUUUGAAAAGAGAGUUAAACAGUACGUGAAAUUGUUGAUAGGGAAACGAUUGAAGUCAGUCAUGCCGGUGAGAAAUCAGCUCACAGGCUACUGUGGGUGCACUUUUUCGCAAGGCAGGUUAACAUCGGUUUUUGUUGCGUUAUAAUGAUUGUAGGAAGGUGGCUCCUUCGGGAGUGUUAUAGCCUACUUUAGAUGGCGCGACGAAGACUGAGGAUUGCAGCGAAUGCCUUUGGCUACGGAUCUUUUCUCUGUCGAUCUUCAAUUGAUCGUCAGCUUGCUGACGAGCGGUUGAUGGGUUUACAAUAGGAUGGAAUUCGAUAAAUUCGCUAAGGAUGUUGACGUAAUGGCUUUAAACGACCCGUCUUGAAACACGGACCAAGGAGUCUAACAUAUGUGCGAGUGUU
rnacentral:rRNA from 1 species